CCUUGGCCUCAAAAGUGCUGGAAUUACAGGCAUGGGCCACUGCACCCAGCCUAUCUUACAUUUUUUUUAAACUCAGAGCAUACCUCAUUUCAAUUUUCCUCCUCUCUUGCUUGGGUUCAUGUAAAAUCUUUCUAACUGGUUUCCAAGUGUCUGCUCUAUUAUGCUCCGUAUAUCCUCCAUACUCUAGUCUGCUCCUACGAACUUCAGCAUCUUCGGCCCCUCUGCCUGGAAUUUACAUCUUUCCAAUCCUGCCUCACAAAUUUUCUAUUAUAUAAGGCUCCGAAAUAUGAACUAGAAGUAAUUUCCGUGAAGCUGAUGACUUUAUCUGGCAUAUGGCUGGAGUGCAGUGACGUGAUCUCGGCUCGCUACAACCUCCACCUCCCAGCCGCCUGCCUUGGCCUCCCAAAGUGCCGAGAUUGCAACCUCUGCCCGGCCGCCACCCCGUCUGGGAAGUGAGGAGCGUCUCUGCCUGGCCGCCCAUCGUCUGGGAUGUGAGGAGCCCCUCUGCCCGGCUGCCCAGUCUGGGAAGUGAGGAGCGCCUCUUCCCGGCCGCCAUCCCGUCUAGGAAGUGAGGAGCGUCUCUGCCUGGCUGCCCAUUGUCUGAGAUGUGGGGAUUGCCUCUGCCCCACUGCCCCGUCUGGGAUGUGAGGAGCGCCUCUGCCCGGCCGCGACCCUGUCUAGGAACUGAGGAGUGUCUCUGCCCGAUCGCCACCCAGUCUGCGAGGUGAGGAGCGUCUCUGCCCGGCCGCCCCGUCUGAGAAGUGAGGAGCCCCUCCGCCCGGCAGCCACCCCGUCUGGGAAGUGAGGAGCUCCUCCGCCCGGCAGCCGCCCCGUCUGGGAAGUGAGGAGCCCCUCCGCCCGGCAGCCGCCCCGUCCGGGAAGUGAGGAGCGUCUCCGCCCGGCAGCCACCCUGUCCGGGAGGUGGGGGGCAGCCCCCGCCUGGCCAGCCGCCCCGUCCGGGAGGGAGGUGGGGGGCGCCUCUGCCCGGCCGCCUCGUCUGGGAAGUGAGGAGCCCCUCUGCCCGGCUGCCACCCCGUCUGGGAGGUGUACCCGACAGCUCAUUGGGAACGGGCCAUGAUGAUGAUGGCGGUUUUGUUGAAUAGAAAAGGGGGAAAUGUGGGGAAAAGAGAGAGAUCAGAUUGUUACUGUGUCUGUGUAGAAAGAAGUAGACAUGGGAGACUCCAUUUUGUUCUGUACUAAGAAAAAUUCUUCUGCCUUGGGAUGCUGUUAAUCUAUAACCUUACCCCCAACCCCGUGCUCUCUGAAACAUGUGCUGUAUCCACUCAGGGUUAAAUGGA